UGGGGAAUUUUGGACAAUGGGCGCAAGCCUGAUCCAGCCAUGCCGCGUGUCUGAAGAAGGCCUUCGGGUUGUAAAGGACUUUUGUCAGGGAAGAAAAGGGCGGGGUUAAUACCCCUGUCUGAUGACGGUACCUGAAGAAUAAGCACCGGCUAACUACGUGCCAGCAGCCGCGGUAAUACGUAGGGUGCGAGCGUUAAUCGGAAUUCCUGGGCGUAAAGCGGGCGCAGACGGUUACUUAAGCAGGAUGUGAAAUCCCCGGGCUCAACCUGGGAACUGCGUUCUGAACUGGGUGACUAGAGUGUGUCAGAGGGAGGUAGAAUUCCACGUGUAGCAGUGAAAUGCGUAGAGAUGUGGAGGAAUACCGAUGGCGAAGGCAGCCUCCUGGGAUAACACUGACGUUCAUGCCCGAAAGCGUGGGUAGCAAACA
rnacentral:rRNA from 1 species